UGGCAUCUGUUUGAUGUUUGUGAGUUGGGA
rnacentral:piRNA from 1 species